GAUGAACGCUGGCGGCGUGCCUAAUACAUGCGAGUCGAGCGAACAGACGAGGAGCUUGCUCCUCUGACGUUAGCGGCGGACGGGUGAGUAACACGUGGAUAACCUACCUAUAAGACUGGGAUAACUUCGGGAAACCGGAGCUAAUACCGGAUAAUAUAUUGAACCGCAUGGUUCAAUAGUGAAAGACGGUUUUGCUGUCACUUAUAGCUGGAUCCGCGCCGCAUUAGCUAGUUGGUAAGGUAACGGCUUACCAAGGCAACGAUGCGUAGCCGACCUGAGAGGGUGAUCGGCCACACUGGAACUGAGACACGGUCCAGACUCCUACGGGAGGCAGCAGUAGGGAAUCUUCCGCAAUGGGCGAAAGCCUGACGGAGCAACGCCGCGUGAGUGAUGAAGGUCUUCGGAUCGUAAAACUCUGUUAUUAGGGAAGAACAAAUGUGUAAGUAACUAUGCACGUCUUGACGGUACCUAAUCAGAAAGCCACGGCUAACUACGUG
rnacentral:rRNA from 1 species